GACGAACGCUGGCGGCGUGCCUAAUACAUGCAAGUCGAGCGCAGAAAGCCGUCUGAACCCUUCGGGGGGACGACGGUGGAAUGAGCGGCGGACGGGUGAGUAACACGUAAAGAACCUGCCCAUAGGUCUGGGAUAACCACGAGAAAUCGGGGCUAAUACCGGAUGUGUCAUCGGACCGCAUGGUCCGCUGAUGAAAGGCGCUCCGGCGUCGCCCAUGGAUGGCUUUGCGGUGCAUUAGCUAGUUGGUGGGGUAACGGCCCACCAAGGCGACGAUGCAUAGCCGACCUGAGAGGGGGAUCGGCCACACUGGGACUGAGACACGGCCCAGACUCCUACGGGAGGCAGCAGUAGGGAAUCUUCCACAAUGGACGAAAGUCUGAUGGAGCAACGCCGCGUGAACGAUGAAGGCUUUCGGGUCGUAAAGUUCUGUUGUAAGGGAAGAACAAGUGCCGCAGGCAAUGGCGGCACCUUGACGGUACCUUGCGAGAAAGCCACGGCUAACUACGUGCCAGCAGCCGCAGUAAAAC
rnacentral:rRNA from 1 species